GCAAGUCGAGCGGGGAGAGGUAGCUUGCUACUGGACCUAGCGGCGGACGGGUGAGUAAUGCUUAGGAAUCUGCCUAUUAGUGGGGGACAACAUCUCGAAAGGGAUGCUAAUACCGCAUACGUCCUACGGGAGAAAGCAGGGGAUCUUCGGACCUUGCGCUAAUAGAUGAGCCUAAGUCGGAUUAGCUAGUUGGUGGGGUAAAGGCCUACCAAGGCGACGAUCUGUAGCGGGUCUGAGAGGAUGAUCCGCCACACUGGGACUGAGACACGGCCCAGACUCCUACGGGAGGCAGCAGUGGGGAAUAUUGGACAAUGGGCGCAAGCCUGAUCCAGCCAUGCCGCGUGUGUGAAGAAGGCCUUAUGGUUGUAAAGCACUUUAAGCGAGGAGGAGGCUACUUUAGAUAAUACCUAGAGAUAGUGGACGUUACUCGCAGAAUAAGCACCGGCUAACUCUGUGCCAGCAGCCGCGGUAAUACAGAGGGUGCAAGCGUUAAUCGGAUUUACUGGGCGUAAAGCGCGCGUAGGCGGCUAAUUAAGUCAAAUGUGAAAUCCCCGAGCUUAACUUGGGAAUUGCAUUCGAUACUGGUUAGCUAGAGUGUGGGAGAGGAUGGUAGAAUUCCAGGUGUAGCGGUGAAAUGCGUAGAGAUCUGGAGGAAUACCGAUGGCGAAGGCAGCCAUCUGGCCUAACACUGACGCUGAGGUGCGAAAGCAUGGGGAGCAAACAGGAUUAGAUACCCUGGUAGUCCAUGCCGUAAACGAUGUCUACUAGCCGUUGGGGCCUUUGAGGCUUUAGUGGCGCAGCUAACGCGAUAAGUAGACCGCCUGGGGAGUACGGUCGCAAGACUAAAACUCAAAUGAAUUGACGGGGGCCCGCACAAGCGGUGGAGCAUGUGGUUUAAUUCGAUGCAACGCGAAGAACCUUACCUGGCCUUGACAUAGUAAGAACUUUCCAGAGAUGGAUUGGUGCCUUCGGGAACUUACAUACAGGUGCUGCAUGGCUGUCGUCAGCUC
rnacentral:rRNA from 1 species